rnacentral:rRNA from 1 species
GAUGAACGCUAGCUAUAGGCUUAACACAUGCAAGUCGAGGGGAAACGGCAGAGAGUGCUUGCACACUUUGGACGUCGACCGGCGCACGGGUGAGUAACGCGUAUCCAACCCGCCCUUUACUUGGGGAUAACCCGUUGAAAGACGGACUAAUACCCAAUGAUAUUCAUUGAUGACAUCUGAUUUGAAUUAAAGAUUUAUCGGUAUAGGAUGGGGAUGCGUCUGAUUAGCUUGUUGGUGAGGUAACGGCUCACCAAGGCCACGAUCAGUAGGGGUUCUGAGAGGAAGGUCCCCCACAUUGGAACUGAGACACGGUCCAAACUCCUACGGGAGGCAGCAGUGAGGAAUAUUGGUCAAUGGACGAGAGUCUGAACCAGCCAAGUAGCGUGCAGGAUGACGGCCCUAUGGGUUGUAAACUGCUUUUGUUUGGGAAUAAUCGACAUUACGUGUAAUGUUUUGCAUGUACCAUUCGAAUAAGGACCGGCUAAUUCCGUGCCAGCAGCCGCGGUAAUACGGAAGGUCCAGGCGUUAUCCGGAUUUAUUGGGUUUAAAGGGAGUGUAGGCGGUUGGUUAAGCGUGUUGUGAAAUGUAGAUGCUCAACAUCUGACUUGCAGCGCGAACUGGCUGACUUGAGUACACACAACGUAGGCGGAAUUCAUGGUGUAGCGGUGAAAUGCUUAGAUAUCAUGAAGAACUCCGAUUGCGAAGGCAGCUUACGGGAGUGUUACUGACGCUUAAGCUCGAAGGUGCGGGUAUCGAACAGG